CAAUAAUAUAUCACAACAUAAAACCAUUGACAAAAGCUUGUUCCCAAGGCACUUGUUUUUAUGAAAACUUGAUAAUUCAUUUAAAUGGGUGGCAAAUACAUUAUAUCUCCUAAACAAGCUUUGAAGGCAGUCCACUCACCAAUUUAUUGUUGAGCCUUUAGUUGACUCUAAUUUCCCUAAUGAUCCAAUUGGAAGGAUGGGACUUCAUUAGAACCUAGGAUCACAUUAGCAUAAAUAACAGGUCAAUCACACACUAUGAACCUUAAAAGCUAUCUCUUAGCUAGCUUUCAAUUGCCACAUUAAAUGGCUAUCUAUGUUCACUAUCUAAAUCAUUAUAAAAUGAAUGAACAUCCUCAACCAUAAAACAGUUCAUAAUCUAAAUUUCUAGCCAUUAUCCACAGCUAAAAACUAAGCUUAGUGCAGCACUUACCCUAGGGUUCCUUUGUAGUUGAAUUCUCUUCAAUAGCUUUUGAAUCAAUGGGGUAAUUCUCUCCUUCUCUCUCUAGAACGCCCAACUAGUCAGAGAAAGUAUGAAAAUAAGAUUUAUCAAGGGUUUUGAAGUGAGAGAGUGAAAGAGCACAAGGGUUUAUGGAAGGGUACACCAAAAGCAUGAAAAUUGGAGCUAAAGAGAGAAAGUUAUGGAAGCUUGAAGAAAACUCCCAUGGAGGAAUUGAAGAAACGUGAGAGGGAAGAAGGAAGAAGAA
rnacentral:lncRNA from 1 species